GGGUUGUGAGGUUAAGCGACUAAGCGUACACGGUGGAUGCCCUGGCAGUCAGAGGCGAUGAAGGACGUGCUAAUCUGCGAAAAGCGCCGGCGAGGUGAUAUGAACCUUUGACCCGGCGAUGUCCGAAUGGGGAAACCCAGUGUGUUCCGACACACUAUCGUUAACUGAAUACAUAGGUUAACGAGGCGAACCGGGGGAACUGAAACAUCUAAGUACCCCGAGGAAAAGAAAUCAACCGAGAUUCCCCCAGUAGCGGCGAGCGAACGGGGAGCAGCCCAGAGUCUGAAUCAGCUUGUGUGUUAGUGGAAGCGUCUGGAAAGUCGCACGGUACAGGGUGACAGUCCCGUACACGAAAAUGCACAGGCUGUGAACUCGAAGAGUAGGGCGGGACACGUGGUAUCCUGUCUGAAUAUGGGGGGACCAUCCUCCAAGGCUAAAUACUCCUGACUGACCGAUAGUGAACCAGUACCGUGAGGGAAAGGCGAAAAGAACCCCGGCGAGGGGAGUGAAAAAGAACCUGAAACCGUGUACGUACAAGCAGUGGGAGCCUCUUUUAUGGGGUGACUGCGUACCUUUUGUAUAAUGGGUCAGCGACUUAUAUUCUGUAGCAAGGUUAACCGUAUAGGGGAGCCGAAGGGAAACCGAGUCUUAACUGGGCGUUAAGUUGCAGGGUAUAGACCCGAAACCCGGUGAUCUAGCCAUGGGCAGGUUGAAGGUUGGGUAACACUAACUGGAGGACCGAACCGACUAAUGUUGAAAAAUUAGCGGAUGACUUGUGGCUGGGGGUGAAAGGCCAAUCAAACCGGGAGAUAGCUGGUUCUCCCCGAAAGCUAUUUAGGUAGCGCCUCGUGAACUCAUCUUCGGGGGUAGAGCACUGUUUCGGCUAGGGGGCCAUCCCGGCUUACCAACCCGAUGCAAACUACGAAUACCGAAGAAUGUUAUCACGGGAGACACACGGCGGGUGCUAACGUCCGUCGUGAAGAGGGAAACAACCCAGACCGCCAGCUAAGGUCCCAAAGUCAUGGUUAAGUGGGAAACGAUGUGGGAAGGCACAGACAGCCAGGAUGUUGGCUUAGAAGCAGCCAUCAUUUAAAGAAAGCGUAAUAGCUCACUGGUCGAGUCGGCCUGCGCGGAAGAUGUAACGGGGCUAAACCAUGCACCGAAGCUGCGGCAGCGACGCUUAUGCGUUGUUGGGUAGGGGAGCGUUCUGUAAGCCGUUGAAGGUGUCCUGUGAGGGGUGCUGGAGGUAUCAGAAGUGCGAAUGCUGACAUAAGUAACGAUAAAGCGGGUGAAAAGCCCGCUCGCCGGAAGACCAAGGGUUCCUGUCCAACGUUAAUCGGGGCAGGGUGAGUCGACCCCUAAGGCGAGGCCGAAAGGCGUAGUCGAUGGGAAACAGGUUAAUAUUCCUGUACUUGGUGUUACUGCGAAGGGGGGACGGAGAAGGCUAUGUUAGCCGGGCGACGGUUGUCCCGGUUUAAGCAUGUAGGCGGAGGUUCCAGGUAAAUCCGGUUCCUUGUUAACGCUGAGGUGUGAUGACGAGGCACUACGGUGCUGAAGUAACAAAUGCCCUGCUUCCAGGAAAAGCCUCUAAGCAUCAGGUAACAUCAAAUCGUACCCCAAACCGACACAGGUGGUCAGGUAGAGAAUACCAAGGCGCUUGAGAGAACUCGGGUGAAGGAACUAGGCAAAAUGGUGCCGUAACUUCGGGAGAAGGCACGCUGAUAUGUAGGUGAAGCCCCUGCGGGUGGAGCUGAAAUCAGUCGAAGAUACCAGCUGGCUGCAACUGUUUAUUAAAAACACAGCACUGUGCAAACACGAAAGUGGACGUAUACGGUGUGACGCCUGCCCGGUGCCGGAAGGUUAAUUGAUGGGGUUAGCGGUAACGCGAAGCUCUUGAUCGAAGCCCCGGUAAACGGCGGCCGUAACUAUAACGGUCCUAAGGUAGCGAAAUUCCUUGUCGGGUAAGUUCCGACCUGCACGAAUGGCGUAAUGAUGGCCAGGCUGUCUCCACCCGAGACUCAGUGAAAUUGAACUCGCUGUGAAGAUGCAGUGUACCCGCGGCAAGACGGAAAGACCCCGUGAACCUUUACUAUAGCUUGACACUGAACACUGGUCCUUGAUGUGUAGGAUAGGUGGGAGGCUUUGAAGCGUGGACGCCAGUCUGCGUGGAGCCAACCUUGAAAUACCACCCUUUAAUGGCUGGUGUUCUAACGUAGACCCGUAAUCCGGGUUGCGGACAGUGUCUGGUGGGUAGUUUGACUGGGGCGGUCUCCUCCCAAAGAGUAACGGAGGAGCACGAAGGUUAGCUAAUCCUGGUCGGACAUCAGGAGGUUAGUGCAAUGGCAUAAGCUAGCUUGACUGCGAGAGUGACGGCUCGAGCAGGUGCGAAAGCAGGUCAUAGUGAUCCGGUGGUUCUGAAUGGAAGGGCCAUCGCUCAACGGAUAAAAGGUACUCCGGGGAUAACAGGCUGAUACCGCCCAAGAGUUCAUAUCGACGGCGGUGUUUGGCACCUCGAUGUCGGCUCAUCACAUCCUGGGGCUGAAGUAGGUCCCAAGGGUAUGGCUGUUCGCCAUUUAAAGUGGUACGCGAGCUGGGUUUAGAACGUCGUGAGACAGUUCGGUCCCUAUCUGCCGUGGGCGCUGGAGAAUUGAGGGGGGCUGCUCCUAGUACGAGAGGACCGGAGUGGACGCAUCACUGGUGUUCGGGUUGUCAUGCCAAUGGCACUGCCCGGUAGCUAAAUGCGGAAGAGAUAAGUGCUGAAAGCAUCUAAGCACGAAACUUGCCCCGAGAUGAGUUCUCCCUGAGACUUUAAGUCUCCUGAAGGAACGUUGAAGACUACGACGUUGAUAGGUCGGGUGUGUAAGCGCAGCGAUGCGUUGAGCUAACCGAUACUAAUGAACCGUGAGGCUUAACCUUACAACGCCGAAG
rnacentral:rRNA from 2 species